GAUGAACGCUGGCGGCGUGCCUAAUACAUGCAAGUCGAGCGAACAGACGAGGAGCUUGCUCCUCUAACGUUAGCGGCGGACGGGUGAGUAACACGUGGAUAACCUACCUAUAAGACUGGGAUAACUUCGGGAAACCGGAGCUAAUACCGGAUAAUAUAUUGAACCGCAUGGUUCAAUAGUGAAAGACGGUUUUGCUGUCACUUAUAGAUGGAUCCGCGCCGCAUUAGCUAGUUGGUAAGGUAACAGCUUACCAAGGCAACGAUGCGUAGCCGACCUGAGAGGGUGAUCGGCCACACUGGAACUGAGACACGGUCCAGACUCCUACGGGAGGCAGCAGUGGGAAUCUUCCGCAAUGGGCGAAAGCCUGACGGAGCAACGCCGCGUGAGUGAUGAAGGUCUUCGGAUCGUAAAACUCUGUUAUUAGGGAAGAACAAAUGUGUAAGUAACUAUGCACGUCUUGACGGUACCUAAUCAGAAAGCCACGGCUAACUACGUG
rnacentral:rRNA from 1 species